UCUAAUAUGGCAGAAAAUUGUAUUGGAUUUAAACCCCAAAAAUAAAGCUUAGCUUUUUUUAGAA
rnacentral:tRNA from 1 species